rnacentral:rRNA from 1 species
UACGAAGGGGGCUAGCGUUGCUCGGAAUCACUGGGCGUAAAGCGCACGUAGGCGGACUCUUAAGUCGGGGGUGAAAGCCUGUGGCUCAACCACAGAAUUGCCUUCGAUACUGUAGAGCUUGAGACCGGAAGAGGUAAGUGGAACUGCGAGUGUAGAGGUGAAAUUCGUAGAUAUUCGCAAGAACACCAGUGGCGAAGGCGGCUUACUGGUCCGGUUCUGACGCUGAGGCGCGAAAGCGUGGGGAGCAAACAGG